rnacentral:rRNA from 1 species
AUCUACUGCCAUGCCACUCUGACACAUGGCCCGAUCUCGUCUGAUCUCGGAAGCUAAGCAGGGUUGGGCCUGGUUAGAAUGGGAGAUCACCUUGGAAUACCAGGUGCUGUAGGCA